CCUACGGGAGGCAGCAGUGAGGAAUAUUGGUCAAUGGACGAAAGUCUGAACCAGCCACGUAGCGUGAAGGAUGACUGCCCUAUGGGUUGUAAAUUUCUUUUAUAAAGGAAUACAACGAGGCUCGUGUGCCUUUUUGCUUGUAUUUUUUGAAUCCGGAUCGCGUAACUCCGUGCAAGCAGACGCGGUAAUACGGAGGAUCCGAGCGUUAUCCGGAUUGAUUGGGUUUAAAGGGAGCGUAGCUGGGUUGUUAAGUGAGUUGGGAAAGUUUGCGGCUCAACCGUAAAAUUGCAAUUGAUACUGGCAGUCUUGAGUACAGGAUAGGUAGGCGGAAUUCGUGGUGUAGCGGUGAAAUGCUUAGAUAGCACGAAGAACCCCGAUUGCGAAGGCAGCUCACUAGACUGUGACUGACAUUGAUGCUCGAAAGUGUGGGUAUCAAACAGGAUUAGAUACCCGAGUAGUC
rnacentral:rRNA from 1 species